UAGGGAAUCUUCGGCAAUGGGGGGAACCCUGACCGAGCAACGCCGCGUGAGUGAAGAAGGUUUUCGGAUCGUAAAGCUCUGUUGUUAAGGAAGAACGAGUGUGAGAAUGGAAAGUUCAUACUGUGACGGUACUUAACCAGAAAGGGACGGCUAACUACGUGCCAGCAGCCGCGGUAAUACGUAGGUCCCGAGCGUUGUCCGGAUUUAUUGGGCGUAAAGCGAGCGCAGGCGGUUAGAUAAGUCUGAAGUUAAAGGCAGUGGCUCAACCAUUGUAGGCUUUGGAAACUGUUUAACUUGAGUGCAGAAGGGGAGAGUGGAAUUCCAUGUGUAGCGGUGAAAUGCGUAGAUAUAUGGAGGAACACCGGUGGCGAAAGCGGCUCUCUGGUCUGUAACUGACGCUGAGGCUCGAAAACGUGGGGAGCGAACAGG
rnacentral:rRNA from 1 species